rnacentral:ncRNA from 1 species
CCUGGGGCUGUAGUCGGUCCCAAGGGUAUGGCUGUUCGCCAUUUAAAGAGGUACGUGAGCUGGGUUUAAAACGUCGUGAGACAGUUUGGUCCCUAUCUUCCGUGGGCGCUGCAGAUUUGAGGAAGCCUGCUCCUAGUACGAGAGGACCGGAGUGGACACACCUCUGGUGUAUCGGUUGUCACGCCAGUGGCAUUGCCGAGUAGCUAAGUGUGGAAGAGAUAACCGCUGAAAGCAUCUAAGCGGGAAACUCGUUUCAAGAUGAGAUCUGCCGGGGCCUUGAGCCCCCUGAAGAGUCGUUCAAGACCAGGACGUUGAUAGGCUGGGUGUGGAAGCGCAGUAAUGCGUUAAGCUAACCAGUACUAAUUGCUCGUGAGGCUUGACCCU